rnacentral:rRNA from 1 species
UGGGGAAUAUUUCACAAUGGGCGCAAGCCUGAUGCAGCCAUGCCGCGUGUAUGAAGAAGGCCUUCGGGUUGUAAAGUACUUUCAGCGGGGAGGAAGGGAGUAAAGUUAAUACCUUUGCUCAUUGACGUUACCCGCAGAAGAAGCACCGGCUAACUCCGUGCCAGCAGCCGCGGUAAUACGGAGGGUGCAAGCGUUAAUCGGAAUUACUGGGCGUAAAGCGCACGCAGGCGGUUUGUUAAGUCAGAUGUGAAAUCCCCGGGCUCAACCUGGGAACUGCAUCUGAUACUGGCAAGCUUGAGUGUCGUAGAGGGGGGUAGAAUUCCAGGUGUAGCGGUGAAAUGCGUAGAGAUCUGGAGGAAUACCGGUGGCGAAGGCGGCCCCCUGGACGAAGACUGACGCUCAGGUGCGAAAGCGUGGGGAGCAAACAGG